rnacentral:rRNA from 1 species
GACGAACGCUGGCGGCGUGCUUAACACAUGCAAGUCGAACGGUAAGGCCCUUCGGGGUACACGAGUGGCGAACGGGUGAGUAACACGUGGGUGAUCUGCCCUGCACUUCGGGAUAAGCCUGCGAAACUGGGUCUAAUACCGGAUAGGACCACUGCCUGCAUGGGUGGUGGUGGAAAGCUUUUGCGGUGUGGGAUGGGCCCGCGGCCUAUCAGCUUGUUGGUGGGGGGAUGGCCUACCAAGGCGACGACGGGUAGCCGGCCUGAGAGGGUGACCGGCCACACUGGGACUGAGAUACGGCCCAGACUCCUACGGGAGGCAGCAGUGGGGAAUAUUGCGCAAUGGGCGCAAGCCUGAUGCAGCGACGCCGCGUGAGGGAUGACGGCCUUCGGGUUGUAAACCUCUUUCAGCACCGACGAAGCGCAAGUGACGGUAGGUGCAGAAGAAGGACCGGCCAACUACGUGCCAGCCGCCGCCGUAA